UCUAAUACCGGAUAAUACNCUGUCCCGCAUGGGACGGGGUUGAAAGCUCCGGCGGUGAAGGAUGAGCCCGCGGCCUAUCAGCUUGUUGGUGGGGUGAUGGCCUACCAAGGCGACGACGGG
rnacentral:rRNA from 1 species